GCCUUUGAUGGGGAGAGUCUGAGAUGGGACCCAGGAACAUCACCAUGAAGCUGUCCAGGAUGGAUGUGGGACCCUCUGUCAGACCAGGCCAGUUCUCUUAAUGUAAGAUCAGCAGGCCAAGGUCCUGGGAUAUGGGAGCUCCCAGGAAGUGGACUGGGAUGCCUGAGGGAUCCAAGAAUUAGCAGUGUCCUGUGUGGUCUCGCUGAGGGAAGCCAGGCAAAAUCUAGCGGCUCAGCUGUAACAGCCGGAGCUCUUGGCUCCCAAGCAACAGGAAACAAUUCUGGCUUAUUUAAGCAGAAAAGGACUUUAUCAAAAGGAUCUUGGGGAACUCACAAAAUAACCAAGAGGGCUGAAGAAUACAGUUGGUGAGUCGACCAAGGAGGCUGCACAGCAGUCAGGACCACAGCCAAAGUCAGGCAAUCCAGGGAUGACCUCGCUGCCAAAUCCAGGACUCCCUGGCAUACACUGCCACCUUGGGACGUGGAUAUGGUCCCUGUCGCCCCAGGAACUGGAAUGCCAUUGACUUGGCGACUGCCACCAUCCACCAGAAUGGACUUCUGUGCUCCUUGCAUCUCUGUAUUAUUAGUUCCCAACUCCAAGCCUUUGAUGGGGGCAUCUGAUGGAUUGAGCCUAAGCUGCAGUGAAAGACAGUGAAGGAAUUAUCCAGGGAAUCACUAGGAGAAUGGAGACCACAUGGAAAGGAGUUUAAAAUCACAUUUGGAAAAGUAGACCCUUUAUGCAAAAGAACAGACACUGAGAGAAACAGCAACAGAGAUGGAUGGAUUAAAAACGGCAAGUUCUAUCAUCGCCACCCCCCCGCCCCGCCACAUACUUUUCUCUCUUUUCAGGAUUCUGAUGGUGCCUGUUGGCUGCUUCCGUGAUGUCUGGAGUUGCAAAAUGUGCCAGAAAGCAGAAGGAUACACCGCUAUUCAGAGAGGAUUUUCUUAGGGACUUGAAGAAAUUGACCUCAAAAUUUCAGUAGAUGAGAGGACUGUGGCUGGCCUGUGUCUUUGGCACUGGUUGUUGGAGCCCAAUGAAAAAUUCUACAUUGAAGACUAAGGGAAAAAGAGGUUUCAUUAUAGAGCUGGGACUGAUUGCAUUUUCAAAAGGUGGCUGCAACAAUAUCCCACACACUUUUCUGCUGUAUAAUCUGCCACUUCUCCAUCAAGUAGAGGAGACAAUUUCUCCCCUCCUUUGAAUCUGAGUGAGUUCUGUGACUGUUUUGACUGAUAGAAUGAUGUGGAAGACAGACUGUGUGACCUGAAAGGUGAGGUCACAGAAAGCCUUGCAACUUCCACCUGGCCUGUGAAGAACACUUGCUCUUGGGAUACUCCUUCUUGGAACCCAGCCACCAUGCUGUAAGAAGCCCAAUCUACAUGCAGACACCACAUAUAAGGCAUCGUAGUCAACAGCCACAGUUAAGUUCCCAGCCGGCAGCCAACAUCAACUACCAGUCUUGUGAGUGAGCUAUCUUGGACAUCCAGCUUGGUUAAACCUUCAGAUGACUCCAGCCCCAGCUGACACCUGACUGCAACCACAUGAGAAACCAGGAAUGAAAAUCCACCAGCUGAGCCCAGUCAACUCAUAGAACUGUGAGAGAUAAUAAUAAGUUGUGGUACUAAGCCACUAGGAUUGGGGCACCAUGCAAUAAUAGGUAACCAAGACAGUAGCAACUUUGGUUAGACACAUGAGCCAUGGGAUGACACAUAAUUAGGUAUAUUUUUAAAAACUUGGAUUCAGCUUUAGGGCAAUGUGUCCCUAACAUAGAGAGGCACUAUUUCAGUUCACAUCUGCUGCCUCUGAUCAAAACACUCUCUUGCACUUCCAGAGAGAGAGAGAGAGAGAGCAAAUGUGUGUAUUUACUGACAGGUGUCCCUUUGUGUCCCCAUCUGUGUGACUGUGGAGCUCAGUGUCUCUCACACAUUCUAGUAUGAUACUUGGUGCCAUAUUUGCAGGUCCUGAGGUAAGAACCCAUGCUGUUGUCUUCAGAGAGUUUCAUGGGUUGGACUGUGCCAUAUAUGGGCAAAAAUCCACCCACACGUUUUCUUUUAAUCACCUUUAUGGAUGUAUAAUUUACAUAUAUACUUUUUUCUUAUUACUUUUUAUUUAUGUAAUUUAUUCAUUUUUUGAGAUAGGGUCUCACUCUCUUGCCCAGGCUGGAGUGCAGUGGAGUGAUCAUGGCUCACUGCAGCCUUGACCUCCUGGGCUUAAGCAAUCCUCCCACUUCAGCCACCUGAGUAGCUGGGACCACAGGCACACACCACCACUCCUGGCUAAUUUAAAAAGUUGUUUUUUUUUUUUUUUUUGUAGAGACAGGGUCUCACUAUGUUGUCAAGGCUGGUCUCAAACUCCUGGGCUCAAGCGAUCCUAGUGCCUCAGCCUUCCAAAGUUCCGGGAUUACAAGCAUGAGCCACCAUGCCUGGCAUCUUUUGUGGAUGUGUAAUUUACAUACGUACAAUAAUAUGUACCUAUUUUAAGUAUACAGUUUGAUGAGCUUUGACGAAUGUAGCCCACGAAACCACCACCAUAAUCGAAGUAUAGAACUUUUUUUUUUUUUUUUUUUGAGACGAAGUCUCUCUCUUGUCACCCAGGCUGGAGUGCAAUGGCAUGAUCCCGGCUCACUGAAACUUCCGCCUCCCAGGUUCAAGCGAUUCUCCUGCCUCAGCCUCCUGAGUAGCUGGGAUUACAGGCACCUGCCACCACGCCCAGCUAAUUUUUGUAUUUUUAGUAGAGACAGGGUUUCACCAUGCUGGCCAGGCUGGUCUCGAGCUCCUGACCUCAGGUGAUCCCCCCUCCUCGGCCUCCCAAAGUGCUGGGAUUACAGGCAUGAGCCACUGCGCCCGGCCUAUAGAACAUUUUAAUCACCCCAGAGAUGUGCCCCCUGUGCAGCCAGUUCCCUCCUCUCACCCCCCAGCCCCUGGCAAGCAUUGAUUUGCUUUGCCACUAUCAAUCAAUUUUUGUCUUUUCUGGUAUUUCAUAUGAAUGGAAUCAUAUAGGAUAGAUUUUUAUGUGACUACACACUAUUUUAGCAUAAUAUUUUUGAAGUUCUUCCAUGUUGUUGUGUAUAUCUAUAGUUAAUUUCUUUUUCUCACUGAAUUGUAUACCACUGUAUGAUGUAUCACAAUUUGUUUAUUCAUUCUCCCGUUGCUGGACAUUUGGACUGUUUAUUGUUUGGGGCUACUAUGAAUAAAACUGCUAUGGAUGUUUAUGUA
rnacentral:lncRNA from 1 species